rnacentral:rRNA from 1 species
UAAGCCUGCGAAGGUGGCCUGUGAGGGUUGCUGGAGGUAUCAGAAGUGCGAAUGCUGACAUAAGUAACGAUAAAGCGGGUGAAAAGCCCGCUCGCCGGAAGACCAAGGGUUCCUGUCCAACGUUAAUCGGGGCAGGGUGAGUCGACCCCUAAGGCGAGGCCGAAAGGCGUAGUCGAUGGGAAACGGGUUAAUAUUCCCGUACUUGGUGUUACUGCGAAGGGGGGACGGAGAAGGCUAUGUUGGCCGGGCGACGGUUGUCCCGGUUUAAGCGUGUAGGUGUGUGUUCCAGGUAAAUCCGGUUCACUUUAACACUGAGGCGUGACGACGAGGCACUACGGUGCUGAAGCAACAAAUGCCCUGCUUCCAGGAAAAGCCUCUAAGCAUCAGGUAACAUCAAAUCGUACCCCAAACCGACACAGGUGGUCAGGUAGAGAAUACCAAGGCGCUUGAGAGAACUCGGGUGAAGGAACUAGGCAAAAUGGUGCCGUAACUUCGGGAGAAGGCACGCUGACACGUAGGUGAAGUGAUUUACUCAUGGAGCUGAAGUCAGUCGAAGAUACCAGCUGGCUGCAACUGUUUAUUAAAAACACAGCACUGUGCAAACACGAAAGUGGACGUAUACGGUGUGACGCCUGCCCGGUGCCGGAAGGUUAAUUGAUGGGGUCAGCGCAAGCGAAGCUCCUGAUCGAAGCCCCGGUAAACGGCGGCCGUAACUAUAACGGUCCUAAGGUAGCGAAAUUCCUUGUCGGGUAAGUUCCGACCUGCACGAAUGGCGUAAUGAUGGCCAGGCUGUCUCCACCCGAGACUCAGUGAAAUUGAACUCGCUGUGAAGAUGCAGUGUACCCGCGGCAAGACGGAAAGACCCCGUGAACCUUUACUAUAGCUUGACACUGAACAUUGAGCCUUGAUGUGUAGGAUAGGUGGGAGGCUUUGAAGUGUGGACGCCAGUCUGCAUGGAGCCGGCCUUGAAAUACCACCCUUUAAUGUUUGAUGUUCUAACGUGGACCCGUGAUCCGGGUUGCGGACAGUGUCUGGUGGGUAGUUUGACUGGGGCGGUCUCCUCCUAAAGAGUAACGGAGGAGCACGAAGGUUGGCUAAUCCUGG